rnacentral:rRNA from 1 species
AUUGAACGCUGGCGGCAGGCCUAACACAUGCAAGUCGAGCGGAUAAGUGGAGCUUGCUCCAUGAUUCAGCGGCGGACGGGUGAGUAAUGCCUAGGAAUCUGCCUGGUAGUGGGGGACAACGUUUCGAAAGGAACGCUAAUACCGCAUACGUCCUACGGGAGAAAGCAGGGGACCUUCGGGCCUUGCGCUAUCAGAUGAGCCUAGGUCGGAUUAGCUAGUAGGUGAGGUAAAGGCUCACCUAGGCGACGAUCCGUAACUGGUCUGAGAGGAUGAUCAGUCACACUGGAACUGAGACACGGUCCAGACUCCUACGGGAGGCAGCAGUGGGGAAUAUUGGACAAUGGGCGAAAGCCUGAUCCAGCCAUGCCGCGUGUGUGAAGAAGGUCUUCGGAUUGUAAAGCACUUUAAGUUGGGAGGAAGGGCAGUAAGUUAAUACCUUGCUGUUUUGACGUUACCAACAGAAUAAGCACCGGCUAACUUCGUGCCAGCCGCCGCAGUAAAAC